rnacentral:rRNA from 1 species
UGGGGAAUUUUGCGCAAUGGGCGAAAGCCUGACGCAGCAACGCCGCGUGAGUGAUGAAGGUCUUCGGAUCGUAAAGCUCUUUCGGCUGGGACGAAAACCGGUUGGUUAAUAGCCAACCGCUUGACGGUACCGGAAGAAGAAGCACCGGCUAACUCUGUGCCAGCAGCCGCGGUAAUACAGAGGGUGCAAGCGUUGUUCGGAAUUAUUGGGCGUAAAGCGCGUGUAGGCGGCAGAGCAUGUCGGGUGUGAAAGCCCUCGGCUUAACCGAGGAAGUGCGCCCGAAACUGCUCCGCUGGAGUGCUGGAGAGGGUAGCGGAAUUCCCGGUGUAGAGGUGAAAUUCGUAGAUAUCGGGAGGAACACCAGUGGCGAAGGCGGCUACCUGGACAGACACUGACGCUGAGACGCGAAAGCGUGGGGAGCAAACAGG